rfam:Myotis lucifugus cont2.29464, whole genome shotgun sequence.
GGCCUCCCUCUGUGGGGUGAUCGACCGUGGGGCUCCGUGAUCGAUCGCCCAGCAGAGGGAGGCC